ACGGGAGGCAGCAGUGGGGAAUAUUGCACAAUGGGGGAAACCCUGAUGCAGCGACGCCGCGUGAGUGAAGAAGUAUUUCGGUAUGUAAAGCUCUAUCAGCAGGGACGAAAAUGACGGUACCUGACUAAGAAGCCCCGGCUAACUACGUGCCAGCAGCCGCGGUAAUACGUAGGGGGCAAGCGUUAUCCGGAUUUACUGGGUGUAAAGGGAGCGUAGACGGUCUGGCAAGUCUGAUGUGAAAGCCCGGGGCUUAACUCCGGGACUGCAUUGGAAACUGUCGGACUAGAGUGCAGGAGAGGUAAGUGGAAUUCCUAGUGUAGCGGUGAAAUGCGUAGAUAUUAGGAGGAACACCAGUGGCGAAGGCGGCUUACUGGACUGUAACUGACGUUGAGGCUCGAAAGCGUGGGGAGCAAACAGGAUUAGAUACCCUGGUA
rnacentral:rRNA from 3 species